rnacentral:rRNA from 1 species
GUGUCAGCAGCCGCGGUAAGACGGAGGGUGCAAGCGUUGUUCGGAUUGACUGGGCGUAAAGGGCGUGUAGGCGGUUGGUCAAGUCUGGUGUGAAAGCCCGGGGCUCAGCUCCGGAAGUGCAUCGGAAACUAGCCAGCUGGAGCGCGAUAGAGGAGGGUGGAAUUCCUGGUGUAGCGGUGAAAUGCGUAGAUAUCAGGAGGAACACCGGCGGCGAAGGCGGCCCUCUGGAUCGUUGCUGACGCUGAGACGCGAAAGCGUGGGGAGCAAACAGGAUUAGAUACCCUCGUAGUCC